rnacentral:rRNA from 1 species
UACGGAGGGUGCAAGCGUUAUCCGGAUUUACUGGGUUUAAAGCGCGCGCAGGCGGCUAUCCAAGUCAGUGGUGAAAGCCCGGAGCUCAACUCCGGAACUGCCAUUGAAACUGUUUGGCUUGAGGACGAGAGAGGUGAGUGGAAUUCCCAGUGUAGAGGUGAAAUUCGUAGAUAUUGGGAAGAACACCGGUGGCGAAGGCGGCUCACUGGCUCGUAUCUGACGCUCAGGCGCGAUAGCGUGGGGAUCAAACAGG